AAAAACUCACCAAAAUCUAAUUAGUCCUAAUUUUUCCUUCUUUUCUCGUCUCCACCUCUUACCCGUCUCUCAUCACCUCCUCUUUUGACAUUAUCGAUCCUUCUUAGAGGCAGACACCGCUGUCACUGGAAGGCACCACCAUAACCAACUGUGGCUUGCAAGUGAAUAAGCCUCUUGCCGAGGACCACAACAGCAAGGUCGACGACUGAGGCCGUAACAUGUGCAAGCCUAUAAUCUGUGCAAGCCUAUAAUCUGUGCCACCAGGGGUUUUCAUAUCAUCCGUGAACUCUGCCACAAGACUGAUGGGUAGACCAUUGAGUGGCUUCUCCGUCACGUAGAGCCUUCAAUUAUAGCUGCCAGCGGCACCGACACAACCCCUACUAGUUUCGCCACUGUUUGCACCUCCACUUGGAACUCCUCCAUCCCUCAUUCACAGCUUACUCCAGUCAAUCUUCCGAACAAUCAAGGGAAGACGAUGAAUGAUGCUACCUCACAGAAGGAUGAUGAAGGGCCAGUUGACGCAGCAAGCUAGAGCUAUGAAACCGCCCCUUUCUCAUUUAACUCGUCGGAUACUACUAUUCCUAGACCAAUGCCACUUGUGUCGAUACACAUGAUUUAAUUCAGAUUUCUCGAGAAGGAUCCUUUCAUUUACUCUAGUGCAUUUUGCAGUAGCUAUAGAGCUUGGACAUUCCAACGAGCUCUAUCUCAUGGCAUGUAAUUUUGUCAAGGAUUAUCCUUAAGAGUAUGCAUCUAUAAUGUUUUAUAAUUUAUAUUGACAAUCAUUGUUAAUCUUGAGAAAUAAUAUUAUGUUAUUGCUCU